rnacentral:rRNA from 1 species
GAGUUUGAUCGUGGCUCAGAUUGAACGCUGGCGGCAUGCCUAACACAUGCAAGUCGAACGUGAUCCGGAGCUUGCUCCGGUGAAAGUGGCGCACGGGUGAGUAACGCGUGGGAACCUGCCCAGAAGUAGGGAAUAACCGCGGGAAACUGCGGCUAAUACCCUAUACUCCCUUCGGGGAAGAUUUAUCGCUUCUGGAUGGCCCGCGUCGGAUUAGCUAGUUGGUGAGGUAACGGCUCACCAAGGCGACGAUCCGUAGCUGGUCUGAGAGGAUGAUCAGCCACACUGGGACUGAGACACGGCCCAGACUCCUACGGGAGGCAGCAGUGGGGAAUAUUGGACAAUGGGCGCAAGCCUGAUCCAGCAAUGCCGCGUGAGUGAUGAAGGCCUUAGGGUUGUAAGCUCUUUCGGCGGGGAAGAUGAUGACGGUACCCGCAGAAGAAGCCCCGGCUAACUUCGUGCCAGCAGCCGCCGU